rnacentral:rRNA from 1 species
CAAUAGCGUAUAUUAAAGUUGUUGCAGUUAAAAAGCUCGUAGUUGGAUUUCGGGGUGGCCUGCCUGGUCCACCGCAAGGUGAGUACUGGUCAGCCGCCCUUCCUCUCGAAAGCCCCGACUGCUCUUCAUUGCAGUGGUCGGGUAGUUCGGGACGUUUACUUUGAAAAAAUUAGAGUGUUCAAGGCAGGCCUACGCCUGAAUACAUUAGCAUGGAAUAAUGGAAGAGGACCUCGGUCCUAUUUUGUUGGUUUCCAGGGCCGAAGUAAUGAUUAAGAGGGACAGUUGGGGGCAUUCGUAUUUAAUUGUCAGAGGUGAAAUUCUCGGAUUUAUGAAAGACGAACAACUGCGAAAGCAUUUGCCAAGGAUGUUUUCAUUAA